GACGAACGCUGGCGGCGUGCUUAACACAUGCAAGUCGAACGGAAAGGCCCUGCUUUUGUGGGGUGCUCGAGUGGCGAACGGGUGAGUAACACGUGAGUAACCUGCCCUUGACUUUGGGAUAACUUCAGGAAACUGGGGCUAAUACCGGAUAGGAGCUCCUGCUGCAUGGUGGGGGUUGGAAAGUUUCGGCGGUUGGGGAUGGACUCGCGGCUUAUCAGCUUGUUGGUGGGGUAGUGGCUUACCAAGGCUUUGACGGGUAGCCGGCCUGAGAGGGUGACCGGGAAGAGUGAGAAGGCGAGAGGGAGCAGGGGGGGAGGGGAGGGAGCAGUGGGAAAGAGAGAAAGAGGGAGGGAAGGCGGGUGGAGAACAGGGUGGGGGGGGAGGCGGGGCUGGGGGGUGGAAACUGGGUGCGGUGGUGAGGGGGGGGGAGGGAAGGAAAGAAGAAAAGAAGCACCGGAAAACGCCGGGACAGCAGCGGCAGAAAUAGUAGGAAGAGAAAACUUAUGAAC
rnacentral:rRNA from 1 species